ACGGAAGGCAGCAGUGAGGAAUAUUGGUCAAUGGGCGGAAGCCUGAACCAGCCAAGUCGCGUGAAGGAAGAAGGUAUUAUGUAUUGUAAACUUCUUUAGACGUAGAGAAAUAAGCGGGUCGUGACCCGUGAUGCUAGUAUACGUAGAAUAAGGAUCGGCUAACUCCGUGCCAGCAGCCGCGGUAAUACGGAGGAUCCGAGCGUUAUCCGGAUUUAUUGGGUUUAAAGGGUGCGCAGGCGGUCUUUUAAGUCAGUGGUUAAAUAGUGAGGCUCAACCUCAUCCCGCCAUUGAUACUGGGAGACUUGAUUGCGGUCGAGGUUGGCGGAAUUCGCCGUGUAGCGGUGAAGUGCAUAGAUAUGGCGAAGAACUCCGAUUGCGUAGGCAGCUGACCAGGCCGUAAAUGACGCUCAUGCACGAAAGUGCGGGGAUCGAACAGGAUUAGAUACCCUGGUA
rnacentral:rRNA from 1 species